rnacentral:rRNA from 1 species
UACAGAGGGUGCAAGCGUUAAUCGGAAUUACUGGGCGUAAAGCGCGCGUAGGUGGUUUGUUAAGUUGGAUGUGAAAGCCCCGGGCUCAACCUGGGAACUGCAUCCAAAACUGGCAAGCUAGAGUACGGUAGAGGGUGGUGGAAUUUCCUGUGUAGCGGUGAAAUGCGUAGAUAUAGGAAGGAACACCAGUGGCGAAGGCGACCACCUGGACUGAUACUGACACUGAGGUGCGAAAGCGUGGGGAUCAAACAGG